GUUGAGAGAACGGAGCAGACGCCAUGGCGACCAACAUCGAGCAGAUUUUUAGGUCUUUCGUGGUCAGUAAAUUCCGGGAAAUUCAACAGGAGCUUUCCAGUGGAAGGAAUGAAGGCCAGCUGAAUGGUGAAACAAACACACCCAUUGAAGGAAACCAGGCGGGUGAUGCAGCUGCCUCUGCCAGGAGUCUACCAAAUGAAGAAAUAGUGCAGAAGAUAGAAGAAGUACUUUCUGGGGUCUUAGAUACAGAACUACGAUAUAAGCCAGUUUCACUCUUUUUGCCCGGGCUGGAGUGCAAUGGUGCGA
rnacentral:sRNA from 1 species